rnacentral:rRNA from 1 species
UACGAAGGGUGCAAGCGUUACUCGGAAUUACUGGGCGUAAAGCGUGCGUAGGUGGUUUGUUAAGUCUGAUGUGAAAGCCCCGGGCUCAACCUGGGAAUUGCAUUGGAUACUGGCGGGCUAGAGUGCGGUAGAGGGUAGUGGAAUUCCGGGUGUAGUGGUGAAAUGCGUAGAGAUCCGGAGGAACACCCGUGGCGAAGGCGGCCCCCUGGGCCGCGCCUGACGCUGAGACGCGAAAGCGCGGGGAGCGAACGGG